rnacentral:rRNA from 1 species
GACGAACGCUGGCGGCGGGCCUAACACAUGCAAGUCGAACGGAAAGGCCCGGCUUUUGUGCGGUGCUCGAGGGGCGAACGGGGGAGUAACACGUGAGUAACCUGCCCCUGACGGUGGGAUAACUUCAGGAAACUGGGGCUAAUACCGGAUAGGAGCUCCCGCUGUAUGGGGGGGGCGGGAAAGUUUCGGCGGUUGGGGAUGGAGUCGCGGCUUAUCAGCUAGUUGGUGGGGUAGUGUCGUACCAAGGCUUUGACGGGUAGCCGGCCUGAGAGGGUGGCCUGCCCCGUUGGGUCUGGGAUGCGACCCAGACUCCUCCGGGACGCAACGGUGCAGAGUGUUACACAGUGGGCGGAAGCCUGGCGCGACGACGCCGCGUCCGGGGUGACGGCCUUCGGGUUGUAUUCCACUUUCGCCUGUGCCGAAGCGUUAAUGACGGUACUGGGUGAAGAAGCCCCGGCUAACUACGUG